rnacentral:rRNA from 1 species
CCUACGGGGAGCAGCAGUGAGGAAUAUUGGUCAAUGGCCGGAAGGCUGAACCAGCCAUGCCGCGUGAAGGUCAGUGCCCUACGGGUCGUAAACCUCUUUUGCCGGGGAGCAAGGGCGGGGACGUGUCCCGGCCCGGAGAGUACCCGGAGAAAAAGCAUCGGCUAACUCCGUGCCAGCAGCCGCGGUAAUACGGAGGAUGCGAGCGUUAUCCGGAUUUAUUGGGUUUAAAGGGUGCGUAGGCGGGCUUUUAAGUCAGCGGUAAAAAUUCGGGGCUCAACCCCGUCCGGCCGUUGAAACUGGGUGCCUUGAGUGGGCGAGAGGAAGGCGGAAUGCGUGGUGUAGCGGUGAAAUGCAUAGAUAUCACGCAGAACCCCGAUUGCGAAGGCAGCCUUCCGGCGCCCUACUGACGCUGAGGCACGAAAGUGCGGGGAUCGAACAGGAUUAGAUACCCGGGUAGUC